AAAACGAAAGUACAUUUCCCGCGAACAAGCAUUCGACUAUUCGAGUCAGAAGCUCAGGAAAAGUACAAAACUGCUCACAUAGACACUAAACAGUAUUGAAAGGGCCUUCGGGUUUUGGAAGCGAACCUUUCAUGUCCUUCAUGGUGAGAUUGGAAUGAAGCCUGCCAAGGUCAGCCGCAUCAUCAUUGCCUGUGCUGUUCUUCAUAAUCUGCGGUUGAUGUGGGGGUACCAGCAGUGGAUCCGGAACAUUUAGAAGAGGUUGCCGAGGAAGAGAUGUUUCAGGCUGUAUCGAAUGGGAUAAGAGUUAGAGAUACCAUUAUCGCAAAUUACUUUACUUAGGAAAUUAACAGAUUAAAUAUAAAUGUUUUUUAUAAAUUUUUAUAAAUGGUUUGCUUGUAUAUCUCUGAGUCAUACACUGAUAGUUUGGUUCCUUGUUUGUUUAUAUGGGUGUUCAUCUGUAUCUGCUGAUGCACAUCUUGUCUGCAUCUCUGAUGAAUAUACAUUAUAGAUCACUGUUAUAGAUCUAUUAUGUUAAGAUCAUAUUAUUUGUUUCAUUGAGUCAACUUUGUUAAAGCAAUAGAUAUUUUGAAGUUUUUAUUUGUUUUAUACAUGCUAUUUAGUAGAGAUAUAAUAUUGGAAACUGAUUCGUACACUGUUAAAAUCGUCAAUAAUCGAAGUUUAGUCUAAACAUAAUAAAAUCUUGGGCAAAAUACCACUUUAGCCCCCGCCAGAGGGGUGGAUAUGCACACGGAAUGAGCCCAUUGUGUUCAUUCAAUAUGUAUUCACACCUCUGGCGGGGGGCUAAAGUGUGAUAUUGCCAAAUCUUGAGAAAUGAAUGAACAGUCAACCAAUACAAUUUUCUGAUUGUUACCACAAUAUCACUUCGAUCAGAUAAUGGCUUCAGACUGUAUGACAGACUUGUUUAACAACGGUAAUUUCAUACAUAACUUUUUAACCAUUUGUUUCGUAGAUUAAAUAAUUGUACCCCACUCUUGAUUUUCCCAACGAUGGCAGCUUCCAAGUCCAUAUUAAUCCAUCUUGCUAUUUUGACUAUAAAUGUCGUGUCCAAAACAUAUUUGAUACGUAUUAUACGUUAUUCUAUG